GGAAGAGUGGCAGAGCUGGUUUAAUGCACCGGUCUUGAAAACCGGCGUGGGUAACACCACCGGGGGUUCGAAUCCCUCCUCUUCCG
rnacentral:tRNA from 1 species